CCAAUAGCCCACCCAGAAUUCUAUCCUCAAUUUGGGUCCAGCAGGGCCCAUUCUACUCUACGAACCUGACCCAAGCGACGGCGACCGGCGGGUGAAUCGCGACGGCGGCGGACAUUGCUUUCGGCCGAACUUCGCCGGCGCCACUCACGCCAUCGUCUUCGAUAUAUUUCGUGGAGGUACUGCUGCUCCCCUUCCUCCUCCUCCCGCUGCCGAAUUUUGACCUGGCUUGAUCAAACCGGAUGACCUGGAUCUGAUCUGAUCUGAUCUGAGAUGCACGCCUCAAGUUGCCCACGAUGUACAUCUUGCGGUUUCUGCAUGUACUUGGCAUCUGAGCUCAGCAGCAAGCAUAUGGCAGGUGGCAGGGUUGCACAUGCUACCCUCAAGGGCAAAGCCGUGGGUGGGCCACGGCAUCUACCUCCACCAUAGGAACCACACAUUUCGAAAAGAGAGAGUAUUAGAGAAAGAUGAUUAACAAAAAGGUAGUAUUUGUGGCAGACUUAUUAAUGCUUUUGUGUCAGACUUUUCUUUCCCUUUUAGACUUGACCACUACCAAUUUUUUGUAUUUUCUUUGCUUCUCUUUCUUCUCUCUUCUUUUGUUGCUCAAAUUUUGAAAGUCGAAAUAAUUUACUCAUGGGACAUAUUUUGGUGAGUUA